GCCGCCAUAGCUCAGUGGAUAGAUCACUGGUCUAGUAAACCAGGGAUCGGGAGUUCGAUCCUCCCUGGAGGCA
rnacentral:tRNA from 1 species